UACGUUUCUGAAUCGGCGUAUCUAGGUCAUUUGCAUAUUCGACGCAGAAAAUCUACGGUAGCGGCCAGCGUAAAAUGGCACACAAUUUUACGCCGGCGUUUGCAAUUUACGUCGGCGGAGGAAGCCUAUUUUUUCAACGUAUCUGCCUUUGAGAAUCGGUGUAAAAAUAUGACGGCGCAGAUUUGGAAUUACGGCGGCGUAUCUGGAGAUACGCCGCCGUAAGUUGUUUCUGAAUCUGGCCCUCUAUUUUUAUGUAGAUCAUUCUCAUAAGGCCUCAUUCUCUGGAGUGUUGGCAGAGCCCAGAAAAUGAUGGGUUCUAUUUUAAAGUAGCCACAUUUUUUCCCAGUUUUAUAGCUUCAUACAGUGGUAAGGGUGAGAAGCGUUGGACCGCCUGGCAUGUUAUGUUUCAUGGUAAGUAUCAUGUGGAGGUUUGGUAGGAAGCUGUACUAGGCCUAGGGUGGUCCUUAUGGGAAUAUGGGGGAAGGGUGGAGGAUAGAAGCACCACUCCUAUGGUGGAAGUCCAGAAUAACAUUUUAUUUCUAAUCGGCAAGAAAAUUCCAAAAUAGUUUCGGGGGAUGGAAGGGUUGCCCUUCUUCAGGGCAAGAGAAAAAGGCGUUUGAGAUCUGAGCUGCUGAACUUAAGCUGGAAUAGGGGGGUGUGAAUAAGGCUCAGUGGGGGGGUAUUUUCAAUAUGAAUGACCUGAGACUAGAACACAGGGACAUGACCUGAGACUAGAACACAGGGACAUGGCCUGAGACUAGAACACAGGGACAUGGCCUGAGACUAAAACACAGGGGCAUGACCCGAGACUAGAACACAGGGGCAUGACCCGAGACUAGAACACAGGGACAUGACCCGAGACUAGAACACAGGGAAAUGACCCGAGACUAGAACACAGGGACAUGAUCCGAGACUAGAACACAGGGACAUGGCCCGAGACUAGAACACAGGGACAUGGCCCGAGACUAGAACACAGGGACAUGGCCCGAGACUAGAACACAGGGACAUGGCCCGAGACUAGAACACAGGGACAUGGCCCGAGACUAGAACACAGGGGCAUGGCCUGAGACUAGAACACAGGGGCAUGGCCUGAGACUAGAACACAGGGGCAUGGCCUGAGACUAGAACACAGGGGCAUGGCCUGAGACUAGAACACAGGGGCAUGGCCUGAGACUAGAACACAGGGGCAUGGCCCGAGACUAGAACACAGGGGCAUGGCCUGAGACUAGAACAAAGGGGCAUGGCCUGAGACUAGAACACGGGGACAUGACCUUGAACUAGAACACGGGGACAUGACCUUGAACUAGAACACGGGGACAUGACCUUGAACUAAAACACGGGGACAUGACCUUGAACUAGAACACGGGGACAUGACCUUGAACUAGAACACGGGGACAUGACCUUGAACUAGCACACGGGGACAUGACUUGAGACUAGAAAACGAGGACAUGACCUGA